rnacentral:ncRNA from 1 species
AUUUCAAUAAUGGUUUCUUAUUAGAAUUAAUAAGGAAAGCGGUGAAAAUCCGUUGCUGUAGUCGCAGCUGUAACCAGAGUUUAUAUAUUAUUCCACUGCUUUAAUAAAGUGGGAAGGAAUACUUAAUAUGACUGGAAGCCAGAAGACUUGCCAUUAUUGUU